rnacentral:rRNA from 1 species
ACGAACGCUGGCGGCGUGCUUAACACAUGCAAGUCGCGCGGUAAGGCCCCUUCGGGGGUACACGAGCGGCGAACGGGUGAGUAACACGUGAGCAAUCUGCCCAUCACAUCGGGAUAACUCCGGGAAACCGAAGCUAAUACCGAAUACGACCACCUCCGGCAUCGGAUGGUGGUGGAAAGUUCCGGCGGUGAUGGAUGAGCUCGCGGCCUAUCAGCUUGUUGGUGGGGUAACGGCCCACCAAGGCUUCGACGGGUAGCCGGCCUGAGAGGGUGACCGGCCACACUGGGACUGAGACACGGCCCAGACUCCUACGGGAGGCAGCAGUGGGGAAUAUUGGACAAUGGGCGAAAGCCUGAUCCAGCAACGCCGCGUGAGGGAUGACGGCCUUCGGGUUGUAAACCUCUUUCAGCAGGGACGAAGCGCAAGUGACGGUACCUGCAGAAGAAGCACCGGCCAACUACGUG